CGUGAGCGCUAGCUUACGUGGAGGCAUUGGUGGGAUACUACCCUAAUUGUAUUGGAUUUCUAACCCGCAGCACUUAUCGUGCUGGGAGACAGUGUCAGGCGGGCAGUUUGACUGGGGCGGUCGCCUCCUAAAGAGUAACGGAGGCGCUCAAAGGUUCCCUCAGAAUGGUUGGAAAUCAUUCAUAGAGUGUAAAGGCAUAAGGGAGCUUGACUGCGAGACCUACAAGUCGAGCAGGGUCGAAAGACGGACUUAGUGAUCCGGUGGUUCCGCAUGGAAGGGCCAUCGCUCAACGGAUAAAAGCUACCCCGGGGAUAACAGGCUUAUCUCCCCCAAGAGUUCACAUCGACGGGGAGGUUUGGCACCUCGAUGUCGGCUCAUCGCAUCCUGGGGCUGUAGUCGGUCCCAAGGGUUGGGCUGUUCGCCCAUUAAAGCGGUACGCGAGCUGGGUUCAGAACGUCGUGAGACAGUUCGGUCCCUAUCCGUCGUGGGCGUAGGAAAUUUGAGAGGAGCUGUCCUUAGUACGAGAGGACCGGGAUGGACAUACCUCUGGUGUACCAGUUGUCGUGCCAACGGCAUAGCUGGGUAGCUAUGUAUGGACGGGAUAAGUGCUGAAAGCAUCUAAGCAUGAAGCCCCCCUCGAGAUGAGAUUUCCCAACU
rnacentral:rRNA from 1 species